UACGGGGGGGGCAAGCGUUGUUCGGAAUUAUUGGGCGUAAAGGGCGCGUAGGCGGUGCGGUAAGUCACCUGUGAAACCUCUGGGCUCAACUCAGAGCCUGCAGGCGAAACUGCCGUGCUGGAGUAUGGGAGGGGUGCGUGGAAUUCCCGGUGUAGCGGUGAAAUGCGUAGAUAUCUGGAGGAACACCGGUGGCGAAGGCGGCAUCCUGGACCGACACUGACGCUGAGGCGCGAAAGCUAGGGUAGCAAACGGG
rnacentral:rRNA from 1 species